GUCUUUUAGAAUAUAAUUUAAAGUCUAACCUGCCCACUGAAUUUUUUUGAAGGGCCGCGGUAUUUUGACUGUGCAAAGGUAGCAUAAUCAUUAGUCUUUUAAUUGGAGGCUUGUAUGAAUGGUUGGAUGAAACAUUAACUGUCUCAAUAUAAUAAAAAUAGAAUUUAAUUUUUAAGUUAAAAAGCUUAAAUAAUAUUAGAGGACGAGAAGACCCUAUAGAUCUUUAUAAUUAAUUUUUUAUUAUUUAUAUAGAAUAUUAAUUAGUAUUAAUUAAUUAAUUAUUUUAUUGGGGUGAUAAAUAAAUUUAGUAAACUUUAUUUAAUUUAAACAUUUAUUUAUGAAUAAUUGAUCCAUUAUUAGUGAUUAAAAGAUUAAGUUACCUUAGGGAUAACAGCGUAAUUUUUUUAGAGAGUUCUUAUCGAUAAAAAAGUUUGCGACCUCGAUGUUGAAUUAAAGGUUAAUUUUAGGUGCAGAAGUUUAAAGUUUUGGUCUGUUCGACCAUUAAAUC
rnacentral:rRNA from 1 species